GCCCCCAAAGCGUAGUGGUCACUGCGCUUGCCUUGCACGCGGGAGACCCGGGUUGGAUUCCCGGCGGGGUUA
rfam:Asian citrus Psyllid, Diaphorina citri - Florida Strain, whole genome shotgun sequence.